GUAGACGAUUCUGACGCUGUGCUGACCUAUGUGCCGGCACGCCGACUGAAGGCGUAACCACUCACCCUCCCAAGCUUCGCU
rnacentral:sRNA from 1 species